GUGCUUGCUUCGGCAGCACAUAUACUGCAAUUGGAAUGAUACAGAGAAGAUUAGCAUGGCCCCUGCGCAAGCAAAUGUGAGGACCUGAGUGUGAGCACCAGAAUCUAUGU